rfam:Ictidomys tridecemlineatus contig023930, whole genome shotgun sequence.
GAGGUUAUGGCUCAGUGGUAGAGUGCUCGCCUCUCAUGUGUAAGGCCCUGGGUUCGAUCCUCAGCACCUCA